rnacentral:lncRNA from 1 species
AUGGCUGAGUGUCUGCCUCCUCACCCGGAGCCAGACCUCCACCUCCUCACCCGGAGCCAGACCUCCACCUCCUCACCCGGAGCCAGACCUCCACCUCCUCACCCGGAGCCAGACCUCCACCUCCUCACCCGGAGCCAGACCUCCACCUCCUCACCCGGAGCCAGACCUCCACCUCCUCACCCGGAGCCAGACCUCCACCUGCUCACCCAGAGUCAGACCUCCACCUCCUCACCCAGAGCCAGACCUCCACCUCCUGUCAGAAGCCCUCCAGAACAGCUGAAAGGCGAGGCUGAGAGGCUGGGGACCGGAGGCUUGUGGUGCCAGGAUGGACCGGAGACUGAGGCUGGAGACCAGGGGCCUGCAGCACCGGACCAGAGGGUAACCAUCACUAAGCUCAUCUGA